rnacentral:tRNA from 1 species
UGAUAAUUAGUUUAAACUAAAACAAAUGAUUUCGACUCAUUAGAUUAUAGCUCAC